rnacentral:tRNA from 1 species
CAAAUUAUAGCUUAAAAAAGUAUUUCAUUUACAUUGAAAAGAUAUUAAAAAAAAUUGAUUAAUUUGA